UGGUGAUACAGAUUGAAUCUACU
rnacentral:piRNA from 1 species